rnacentral:rRNA from 1 species
UACGUAGGGGGCGAGUGUUGUCCGAAGUUACUGGGCGUAAAGCGCGCGUAGGCGGUUUCUUAAGUCUGGUGUGAAAGGUUCAGGGCUCAACCCGAACAGUGCACUGGAUACUGGGAGACUUGAGUAUGGGAGAGGAGAGCGGAAUUCCUGGUGUAGCGGUGAAAUGCGUAGAUAUCAGGAGGAACACCGAUGGCGAAGGCAGCUCUCUGGCCUGUAACUGACGCUGAGGUGCGAAAGCGUGGGGAGCAAACAGG